UUUUGUUUGAUCGCGACUGCAUCAAAUAAGACUGGCGUGGCAGCAGAGGUGAAGAUGGCAAUGACAUUGAGACUCCUUUAGCCAAGUUCAUCCUGUAAGCAUCCCCCGGGAUAUGCUGAUUGCCAGUGGGAAGAUCUGCACCGUGGCCAGAUGCUGCAACACUCUGCAAGGCAUUCUCUGGGCAGGAGUCCCCUGCUGAUUCUUUCUUGCUCCCUUUUCCACCCUCUCGGCUCUUCUUUAAAACUGCCUUUAACAUUUUAAGUGUUGCUCCUCCGCCGAUGGGCCCGGCUCUGCUCGCCCGAGGGCUGCGCGGCCCGGGCCGGCGCCAGGCGGGCAGGCGGCGGGAUGAGCUCAGCGGGAGCGGGAGGCGGCAGUCCCCGCCCCGCACCUCACGGCCGCCCUCCGCGGGAGCGG
rnacentral:lncRNA from 1 species